rnacentral:rRNA from 1 species
UACAGAGGGUGCAAGCGUUGUUCGGAAUUAUUGGGCGUAAAGCGCGCGUAGGUGGUCAUGCAAGUCCUGUGUGAAAGCCUCAGGCUCAACCUGAGAGGGUCACAGGAUACUACAUGGCUCGAGGAUGGGAGAGGAGAGCGGAAUUCCCGGUGUAGAGGUGAAAUUCGUAGAUAUCGGGAGGAACACCAGAGGCGAAAGCGGCUCUCUGGCCCAUUUCUGACACUCUGGCGCGAAAGCGUGGGUAGCAAACAGG